AUUAUAAUGUGUUGUAUCGAAUCUUACGUUUACUUUAAUCACCAGAUAGGUGUCUGGUUACUCCUAUCUGUCUGGUCACUUACUAUCAAAAAUACCACAGUAAGCAGACUUUCUUCAAUGUGUUUGCCAGGAUUAAAAGUGGUGACAUUCAGAAAAGCUAGGGCAAAACAGUUGCUCUUAAAUUUUAAAUUACCUUUUCUGUUGAGGGACUCUACUGAAUUGGCCUCAUGACCUCCUGUAUCUAGAAAUAUAUGUCUACACCAACAAAGAAUGGAACUUGUCCCUCUAGAGGGUGACAUUUUUCCUGCUGAGGCAAUUAAACAGAUCCAUGUAGAGAGCUUUUUAGACACUGGUCACUUAAGAAGACAUUUUAUGUCCCUUCCAUUCAGAAUCAUUUUGGUUAUUUUACUGUAUUGUAAAUGGCUGAUUUGUAAUGAGUGUAGCAGUUUAAUUUCCUUUCAUUUUAAUUUUAAAAAUUAACAACAACAAAAAAAUCCUUAAAAGACAGAGAACUUGGCAACUAUGCUCAAAAAUGAGAGGGACACAGAAUCUCUGAUACAGUUCCUCCCCCAGAGCAAUAUAAUCACAAUUGUUUACUGUCCCAGAGCAUGUAAAAUAUGGCAAGGACAUUGCAGAACACAAAGCCACAACUGUUAACACAAAAAAUACUAAGAUUUGUAGCCAGUAAUCUCUAGAGAAGAAGUAAGUGUGAGAGUAGCACUUCUACAUAAGAAAGGUUGCAAUCUGAUGCCACUAUUUAAACUGGAACAGUUUAAUGGAACAGUUCCCAGACUUCUUCACUGGUUCCAAUGUGUUCCUGAAUUCCCUUCCAGUUGCAACUACAGCCUUUUGUUCCUAAUUCUGGUUGUGAAUCCUACUCUUUCAAUAAAACUUAUGUCACACACACAAAUACUGAACCCUUGUUUAAGAACCGCUGCUCUCAUAUUAGGUUUCCCCUGGUGUGUUUCUCCCAUGUACUGUAAGCCAUUCUGCUUUUAUUUUGUAAUGCUCACCAAGCUUUUAAAGAAAGCAGCAAAAAUGCAUCAGAAAUGACGGCACUCAUGUAACAACAACUUUGCCACCUGACACUGUAAGAAGGAUGAAUCACUUGCAUGCAUCUGUGAGUUCAAGCUGCCUCACAAAGUUCUGCAAUUAAUUUCUUUGGCACAGUGGAGGAUAAAUGAUUGUCUGCACUGAAGUGAUUGCUGUUUUUACUUUCUUUGUUAUCAUUUCCGUAUCUGUAGCUCUUUGACAUGGCAAAUCACGACUAAGAGAGAAGCGUGAGGUAUCUGUUAGCGGAUGGCCCAACAUCAAAAGAGACCAAUUAGCAAUGUCUCCAUCUGCUGCCUAGACUCGUGCUUGCUUCCUGCCUGUUCCUGGAGCCAAGAAUUGAACUGGAAGCCUUGGAUUUCAUGCACAGCAGCUGCAGUCAAUUUCUCCAGUGUCACACAUUGUCCUGAAACUUGUUAUAGGAGCUGAAGAAUGGAAGUCUUGCCUUUCUUAUUGAGGCUGGCCCUCUUCUCUUAAAACUUAACACUGUUCAAGAGACCACCACAGACUAGUUGAGAUCUUUUUAAGACAGAACAUGAGAGUUGGUGCCAAAAAGAGAACCCUUACUCUUUCACACCCAUACUGUGUCAGAAACUGCCCUGCAUGGUGGGAGGGACCAAUGUGCUGAAUAUCAUCUUCAUUAGGUUUUUGAGGGCCCAUGGAUUACUUGUAAGGGAUCUAUUAAGGUUGCUGAGAAAAGGAAAUCUCUGCUCUGUUAGCCUAAAGGAUCCUCAGGUCUGAAAGGGCUGAAGGCCAUUUCAUUGGAGAUAAAUACUGUGCAGCUAAAUGAAAAAAUAUCCCAGAAGCUUGGGGAAUACAGGGACCCAUGGGACCUAUUUGAAAGAAUCUUUAUGAAAAACGUGGCAGAAUAAAAACAGAAUUUAUUCCCCCUUCAAAGCA